rnacentral:lncRNA from 1 species
CAUGUUGAUUGGAAGGAACUAACAUUUAUUUGGAAUAGACUGGCGGGGUGGCUUUGACAAGUGGUUUAGUUGCAGCAGUUGAAGAAAGGUUUGUUCCAAUUUUAAUUGACCUUAUCAUAUUAACCUACCCGACUACAAGCUAAUUGGCUGAUACUGAUGUUUGCAAUGAUAAUGCAUGUAUUGUUUUAUAUUAGAGAAAAAGGAAACUAGCCAAUGAUGGGAUAAAAAAACAUUGAUAAAAGUUAUUGGGUUUAAUUCUUAGUAGUGUUUAUUCAUUUGUGACUUCUUGGUAGUGUGAUAUUGUAGAUGUAUUAAGUAGAUCAAUUCCUUCUUGAUGUAAUUAUAUUUGGCAUGAAAAAAAAUCUAUUUUAUUUAAUAACCUGAAGUUUUAACUUCAACAUUUAAAUAAGUUUUAUUAUUGUUUUCUUUUAGUGUAUUUAUAAUUUUGAUGAGAUUUGUCUGCUUUUGAAGGUGUUUCUUCUUUCCUUCAUCCUGUUUUACAUUAUCCAUAUCUUUCAAUACUUUUUCUCUUACAGAACUGUAUAGUUAGCAGUGCCCAUCAUUUUAUGGUUUUUCUUCAAUCUGUUUUAACAUCAUCAAUUCUAUUUCUCAUUUGAAUUUCAACACCCUAGUGUCAUGAAUGAUUCUUUAAUUGUAUCAUGAUAUUAAUCGGAUGAAUCCACUAAUCUUAUGUCUCAGAG